GUUUUCCCCCCUAAUGCCUUCAUAAAGGAAUACAGCCCUGCCAACACCCUAAGUUUAGCUUGUUGAGACCUUGUGGCAGAUUUACCUGCAGAACUCUGAGAUAAAUUUGUGUUGCUUAAAUCACUAACUUUUAAUGACAUGUUAUGGCAGGAUUCGAAAAGAAAUAUAAUCUAUGAGUGAAGGCUGUCAUGUUAUAAGCAAAAUAAGGUGAUCUCAACUGAUUUUACAUAUAUACACUUAAUAAAGUGAUAUAUGCCAAUUCACAGGUUUGGUAAGAAGACUCUCAAAUCAAUUUUAAAGCAAAUCAUCCAGGAUCACACACCAAAACCAGACCAUGGAUUUGGUUCAAUUAUAAAUCUGCUGCUUGAGUGAACCAUAGAUAAAUCAUGACUCACCACAGGCUGAACAGCUUUUGCACCAGGAACCUGAUGUCACAGCCACCAUACAUAUUUCUGGUUCUUCUAAUCACAUUGAUAUACUGUCAGUCAAAAAUAAAGGAGCUGAAUUGAGUUCACACUUCAUUACAAAACUAAGAACAUUAUGUAAGUGACAUUUUUUGAGCUUUAAAAUAAUCCUGUUAAAUGAGUAAAUAUUAUUCCCAUUUUUUAUAGAUGUGA
rnacentral:lncRNA from 1 species